GACGAACGCUGGCGGCGUGCCUAAUACAUGCAAGUAGGACGCAGUUGAGAACGGGUGAGUAACGAGUAGGUAACUACCUAUUAGAGAGGGAUAACUAUUGGAAAAGAUAGCUAAUACCGAAUACUAGAAGAUGGACCGGCGUUGUAUUAGCUAGAAGGUAGGGUAAUGGCCUACCUAGGCAACGAUACAUAGCCGACCGUGGAGGGUGAUGUGCCCAACUGGGACGGAGAGACGGCCCAGACGCCUACGGUAGGCAGCAGUAGUGAAUCUUCGGCAAGGGUGGGAACCCUAACCGAGCAACGCCGCGGUAGUGAAGAAGGUUUUCGGAUCGUAAAGCUCUGUUGUUAAGCAAGCGGUACUUAACCAGAAACGGACGGCUAACUACGUGCCAGCAGCCGCGGUAAUAC
rnacentral:rRNA from 1 species